rnacentral:rRNA from 1 species
GGCGAGUGGCGAACGGGUGAGUAACAUAUCGGAACGUGCCCUGGAGUGGGGGAUAACUAGUCGAAAGAUUAGCUAAUACCGCAUACGAUCUACGGAUGAAAGUGGGGGACCGCAAGACCUCAUGCUCGUGGAGCGGCCGAUAUCUGAUUAGCUAGUUGGUAGGGUAAAAGCCUACCAGGGCAUCGAUCAGUAGCUGGUCUGAGAGGACGACCAGCCACACUGGAACUGAGACACGGUCCAGACUCCUACGGGAGGCAGCAGUGGGGAAUUUUGGACAAUGGGGGCAACCCUGAUCCAGCAAUGCCGCGUGAGUGAAGAAGGCCUUCGGGUUGUAAAGCUCUUUUGUCAGGGAAGAAACGGUGAUUCUUAAUACGGAUUGCUAAUGACGGUACCUGAAGAAUAAGCACCGGCUAACUACGUGCCAGCAGCCGCGGUAAUACGUAGGGUGCAAGCGUUAAUCGGAAUUACUGGGCGUAAAGCGUGCGCAGGCGGUUAUGUAAGACAGAUGUGAAAUGCCCGGGCUCAACCUGGGAACUGCAUUUGUGG